CAAGGAUCAGGAUCUGGCCCCUCACUAGCCAGGAGCGCUAGGAUAGAGUCAGGGUCCCAUGAGGGGCCAGCCUGCGAGGAACUGGGUGGCCACCAAGUCAUACCGCAUGAGCCAAGGAGAUGGGAGGUAGAGGAAAGGGCAGGGGGAUUCCAGAGAGCCAGCUUCCUGGACCGUAAGCACAGAAAAUAUGAGGCUCGUCACAGACACUCCCUCUCCCCGCUGGGACUGACAACCGUCUCUCCUAAGACAUGUUCUUUUCCUAUGAAAUGAGCCAACGUCAAAGACAUGGCACUCCUGCCAGGUUAGUUUAUUCGUGCUUCCGCUCUAAGCUCGCCUGGAGUCUAUAUUUCCAACACGAAUCUCAUAACCAUACUUGGCGGGGGUGUGGUUCAUAGAGUUAGCAAUAAAAGUAAUAGGACUCAGAAGGCAAAAACUGGAUUAUUUGGUGUAAGAAGUUGAAAGCAAGGCGUUUUAAGGCGAGUGAUGCAUUACUUGGGAUAAGUCACCAGAGGGCGCCGGAGCAUCCUUCUCCAAAAGAAGUUUCAGUUCAACAAAACCCUUUAGGCGUCAGUUAAACAAGAACACUUGCUCAAAGCGACAGGCUCCACCGAGGUAACCCUAAAGGCAGAAGAGAGUGGACAGGCGGUCCCUGAAAAAGUCUUCUGAGGCAUGUAAUCUCAUUGAAGUAAUCCGUUUUACGUUAAAAAUUGGCAUGACUUUCCACGGAAUCGCCUGAUACAUCCUGGUUUGCUUUAAUAUAGCACACAACGUUUUACAUUUCUUAGGCCCUAAACAGGACGCUCCGGAGGGCGUCGUGCUGGUCUCUGGCACACAGUGGCGGGUCCUGGAUUCCUGCAGCCAGAAAUCACCGGGGACUGUGAACCCACUUGCCUGCUGUGGACACCUCCUACAAGCCUGAUUCGGAACUUGGAACCCUGGGCUGAUGACCGCGGAGAGCCCCUAUUCCACUGUCUUAGUUUACACUGGGGGAACUGAGGCUCAGAGUCGCACAGGGAGCUGUUCCGAAUUACAAAUCAGCUGCACUGCAUGGCAUGUGGAACUUCCCCAACCAGGGGCACCAGGGCUUGAACCUGUGCCCCCUGCAGUGGAAGCACCGAGUUUUAACCACUGGACAACCAGGGAAGUCCUGUCCAUGUAAUUCUUGAUGGUUGUGUUUCAAAAUCGGAGGGCUUGCCGUGUAGGGUGAUGAUUUGUUGCUGUCCCAUGUUUCUUCUCAAGCUCAUUUUUCUUCGGAUUGUAAAGCUUCUGAAUGAUUUUAAAAAAAGUCAUAGACACGUUUGGCCAUCAACAACAAACAAAGCAAUAACGUGGAACGGCACGCAGCCCACAACACACUCAGGGAAUCCUAGGGUGUCACCGAAGAGAGACAAGGGAAAUUGGAGACCUUUUGGAACUGACUCUCACAGUGAAGCCAGUGACAAAGCUCAAGGAGCUGCCUCCCUUUGUGCCAAGGAAAAGUUCAGCCCACGCACGAUCUGGUCCAUGUGAGGGAGCCCUCACUCCAGCCCCACCCCUAACCACCAGAAGACUCCAGUCGCCUCUCCCUGCUUUCUUAAGCUGUUUUUGGACCUUCUUUGGAGCCUGCCCUGCUCUUCCCAGAAAGCCUGAUUAUGUCACGCCACAGGAUGUGGGAUCUUAGUUCCCUGACCAGGGAUUGAACCCAUGCCACCUGCAGUGGAAGUGUGGAGUCCUAACCACUGGACCGCCAGGGAAGUCCCAAAAGUAUUUUUAUAUGUUGAUCUUUAAAUGUUAAUUUCAUUAGUAAUUCUUUUUAAUUGAAAUAUAGUUGAUUUACAAUGUUGUGUUAAUUUCCGCUCUACAGCAAAAUGACUGAGUUAUACAUAUAUGUACAUUCUUUUUUAUAUUCUUUUCCAUUAUGGCUUAUCCUAGGACAUUGAAUAUAGUUCCCUGUGCUAUACAGUAGGACCUUGUUGUCCAUCCAUUCUCUAUGUAAUGUAGCUACAAUUAAGCUACAAUGCCAGAUGUCCAGUUCAGUAUGGGGCCCAGGGAGAGAGUUAGGCCACUGGCCCUCAUUCCCACAGCUAGAAGGAGGCAACCCCUGGGGCUGGGACUCAGUCUCCCUGGGCCCACACCACCUUGCAGCCAGGGCCGCCUGACUGCCAGACCCCAGCCCAUCGCAUUUGCUUGGGUCCCCAUCAGCCGGAGUGGGAAAAGCAUCAUCUCAGCAGAUAAUCCUGCCUGCACUUCCCCACUCAUGACUCAUCUCAGGACACACCCCUCACUCAGCACAUCCGGGCCCUGCAUUCUUUUCCCUUCUCUGAAUGUGCUAAAUCCCUCCCACCUCAGGGCCUUUCCCCAUGCAGGUCCCCUGCUGGAAGGUUCUUCAGCCUUACAGGCUGAAUCUCUCUCCAUAGAAAACUGAAAGCUCUAUGCAUGUUUUUGAGGAUCAUCUGUCUGUUUUCUCCACACUUAGUAGUAACUGGUACAGAAUAAGUGCCUAGAAAUGGCCCAGGCUUUAGGUGUUCUUUCCCAUCAGCCUGAGUAGAAACUUGUGCAGGGACUCGUGAGCUGGGAAAGCUUCCAACACCGCCAUGCAAUUUUGGAUGUCUCCAGAAUUCCAUGUUAUCUUUGUACCACCACAGAAUGAAAAGCCAAGGGGACACGUUACUAAGCAACUAUGAAAGUUCUAAAUAGUUGUUUACAAAUAAAAGAGACAAGUAGAAUUUCUGUAACAUACUGAAUUUCUAAACAGCACUCAUUUAUUUCUUUCAUACAGUGUCAUUGAAAGACCUCCCUGGAAGAAGAUCCUAUUCACAAAAGCAACCAAAGAUAUAAACUACCGAGGAAUAAACUUAAAAAUAAAUGCUUAAAAAUGAUAUGAAGAAAACUGUAAAACUUUGUAAAGAGACAUAGGAUUUUAAUAAACACGGAAUGAGAAUCCUCAAAAUUAAGAUAUUAAAUUAAACUGUGUGUUUUGCACUAUCCAAAUCAAAAUGCUAACAUUAACUUUUCUAAGAUUUUUACCAAAUGAUACUAAGGUACAUCUCUAUGCAGAAUAAUAUGCAAAGAUAGCCCAAAAAUUCUGAAAAAGAAAAAUAAUGAAAGGAGGACAUGCCCCCCUCCAAACAUUAAAGACAUGCACAAGAAUGUUCGUAGUAGCAUUAUUGAUAAUAGCCAAAAAUCAUAUAAAAUCCAAAUGCCUAUCAACAGUAGAAUGGAUUAAUUACUGCAUGUUCAUAAACUGAUCUACUGUACAAUAAAGGAUGAACUCCUGCUACACCCAAAAAUGUGGGUGAAUCCAAUAGGUAAAAAUAUGAGUGAAAAGCCAGUCAUCAAAGAGUACUUACUGUAUGAUCUACUUAUAUAUAAGAUUUAAAGAAAGGUAAAACAAAUCGAGUGUGAUAGAAAUCGGAAGAGAGGUCACCUUUUAGGAAAGCAAUGACUGGUAGAAGGCACAAGAGAUGCUUCUGGUAUGAUGUUGCCCGUGAGUAUUCACUUUCUAAAAAUUCAAUAUUAGAAUUAAAAAAAAUACAUCAAUGAAAAUGAGCUCCCACUAUACUCAUCAACAUAAGUUCACAAAGAUAACAUUGAGUGAGAGAAAUCAGGCACAAAUGAGUACACACUGGAUGAUAAUGUUUAUGUAAUGUUAAGAGAUAGUCAGAAUCAAUCUGUGAUGUUAAACCUCAGAAGAGUGGUUAUGUCUGGAAAGAUGAGAGCAGGAAAGGUUGGGGGGAGGCCUGAGAGGGGUUGAGGGGGAUCAUAGUUUUCUAUUUCUUGAUCUGGGUGGUAUUUACACAGGUGUGCUCCCUUUGUGACACUUGAUCAAACUGUCCACUUAUAACUUAUGCACUUUCUGUAUACAUGACAUACUUGAAUCUAAAAGUUUGCUUUUGGAGCUCUUUCCUUUUGCCUCCUUGCAUUCGAGAAAGCAAGAUGGGUUGCCAGCAGCUCUUCUGGAGCCAUUCGAGAAAAUUCAGCCAGGGUUCUUGCUCUUGCUACCUCUGCUCAAACCAGCACAGUAUGAUCCGUCAGUACACAAAGGAUAUUGGCUUCAUUAAGCUGGACCAAGUAAACUUCCUUGACUGGGUCAUCCAGGACAUCCUUACAGCAGAAACAAUGCUAGCUGUUUGUACAUAAAAUUAAAAAAAAAAAAUUUCAGGGACUUCCCUGGUGGCGCAGUGGGUAAGACUCCACACUCCCAAUGCAGGGGGCCCAGGUUUGAUCCCUGGUCAGGGAACUAGAUCCCACAUGCAUGCUGCAACUAAGAGUUCGCAUGCCACAACUAAGGAGCCUGCCUGCUGCAACUAAGACCCGGCACAACAAAAUAAACAAACAAAUAAAUAAAUAAAUAAAAUUUUAAAAGGCUUUCAAAAACAAAAUAAAAUAAAACAAAAGUUUGUUUUUUAAGAAAGUUACGUGCAUUCCCUUUGACUUGGCAAUUUCACAUUUAGGAUUUUUUCCCCUAAAGAAACAAAAGCACCCAAAGAUGUACAAAUUUAUGUAUUGAACACUGUUUAUAAUAAAUAAAAAUUAGAAACAACCUAGAUGUCUAACGAUAGAGGAACCAGGUGAAUAAUUUAGGACACGUGUACACUGAGAUACUACCCAGCCAACUGUAGAUGAUAUAGAUCUACAUUUAUUUUUAUUUAUUUAUUUAUUUAAUUUAUUUAUUUUUGGCUGCGUUGGGUCUUCGUUGCUGUGUGCGGGCUUUCCUCUAGUUGCAGCGAGCGGGGGCUACUCUUCGUUGAGGUGUGCGGGCUUCUCAUUGCGGUGGCUUCUCUUGUUGCGGAGCACGGGCUCUAGGCACGCGGGCUUCAGUAGUUGUGGCACACAGGUUCAGUAGUUGUGGCUCGCGGCCUCUAGAGCACAGGCUCAGUAGUUGUGGCGCAUGGGCUUAGUUGCUCUGCAGCAUGUAGGAUCUUCCCAGACCAGGGCUCGAACCUGUAUCCCUUGCACUGGCAGGCAGAUUCUUAACCACUGUGCCACCAGGGAAGCCCCUAGAUCUACAUUUAUUGACCUAGAAAUAAAACCUCACUAUAAAGGCUCAGAUGACAAAAGCAGGUAAACAUAUUAACGUUUUCAAAUAUAACCCCAAACUGUUUUCUGCAGUAACUUGGAUGGGAGAUGAUGAAUGAUUAUUUUUCCAUUUGCUUCUGUAUAUUUUCUGACUUUUCCAUAAAACCCAUAUCUUUGAAAAGACAUUUCGUCGUUUUAUUCAUGUUAAGACAGCCCAACUGUCCUAGGUAAACAGAUGAAUAUCCUCCCCGAGAAGCCAGAGUCUAUGGACAGAUCUGGAAUGGUGUUCUGGCCCCAACCCCGUAUUAGCUGUGCUACUUUGGAGGUGUUACCUCAAUUUAAGAGCUUUCUUUUCCAGACCAUUAAAAAUGAAGAUAAUUAUGUUAAGAGGAUUUUAAAUGAUUCAACAUAUGUAAAGUAUUUAUCCUUGACUGAGACACAAAAGACACCAAUGAAUGUCACUGCCCUGCUUUUGGUAGGUACCAGGAACUGAAUUUCAGAAUUUGGAUUUCAGAUACAACAAAUCCUUUCAAAAGAUGCAUACUUUUCCAGGGAAUUAGAAAAUAGUCUACAGUCUCUCUUGUUCUGAUAAAGUAUUUUUUUUCCCUUGUGUCGAUGGCUUUUGAUCAAACUUGUUGACAGUUCUUGGGCCUUUUUCCUUCAGCAGGGCAAGAGGAAUGGGAUUGCCCUGUGAGGGCAGAAUAUUCUAGUUUAAUCCUGUCAGCAGGUGGAGUUGCUGUGCCUGUGCUCCAUGUUUGACACCUGAAGAGUCAACACCUCAAGGGGAAUAGGAGGAACUCUGGUGGUAACACAGACCUGCCCAGCAUAGGUCAGCAUCCCUGGAGAAUAGCAGGGACACCCCAGGGAAGAGGGGUUCACAGUCCUCAGUCUACAAAUGAAGAAACUGAGGCUCUGAAAGAUCACUCAGGGUCUUGCUGUUUAGAAGAGCUGGAAAUGACUCAGUUACUUCAUAACUGUGGGACCUGGGGCAGGUGCCUUCAUCUUGAACCCCUCGAAGACACCCGGCCAUUGAGAGAGAUCCCAGGCUUACAGCCACAGGCCUGAAAGGGCUCUAAUACCCCUCCACCCCCUCUCCCAUGUUCCAAAUCGCAACAUUCAUAUUUUACAGAUGAGGAAACUGAGGUCGGAGGCAAGGCCGGGUUAGGAAUGCAGGCUCCUGGUUAAGAAUCUCUCAUUCUGAAGCGGAAGCUGCUCGCGGAUCAGGGCGGACAGUCCCUUUUCUCCGAUUCUACAUAAGAAACACAUGCCCAGAGGAGAGACUAAUCCAAGGCCAUGAUGCGAAAAACAAAUCUAGAGGCCAUCAGACUCUAGUGCUGCUGGAGGCUGGGCGCCCGCCUCCCUCGACGCGCCUCCUUUCGGCGCCGUGCUAGGGGUCCCGUCGGGAGGAGGGCGAAUGCGGUCUCCGGUUUCCAGGCACAGCGGAUGUAGCAGCCUCUGCCCUGGGGGAAUCUCAUCCAGUAGAGCGGAUUGGGGGAGGACCACGUGGGCGCUUCGGGUGCAGCCAGUUUGCGAUCACCACGGAAACCCCCUUCCCUGACCCCCAGGGACCAUGGCUCUCCCUCCUUCCCACGCAUGGGCGGGGAGAGGAAAUGUCGACCAAUGAGAUAGCGGGAAUCCCGUGACGUCGACGGUAUCUGGGCCGGAGUGGAGGAGUUGGAGGUGAGCAGAGUCGGACGCCGGGGAAGCUAGUGAAGGGUUGCGAAGAAUGGUGCCGGGCGAGGAGUAAGGUAGCGUCUGAGAGACGCAGCUUGCUCUCCUCCUGGGUGUCCCACAGGCACCUCCUCUCGCGUGUCCCCCAGUUCACCUCUUCUUUACCCCCAGAUGCUCCGCCUGCUGAAUUCAGCGUUCAGUGGCGGCACCGCCGUCUGUUCCAGGAGUGGUGGCCGUGGGGUGGGGCAGGGUGGAGGAGACGGCCUCGCUGAGGAGUCCAUCGCUGGCUUUUGAUUCUGCCUGGGAAGGCUGAGGGGGGUUUAGGCAGCGAUGGGGGGGCUUCUCCUGAAUGGGGAGGGCGGAGGCGGGAAAUACCACCCUGGGGAUCAAA